GAUGAAGAACGCAGCGAAAUGCGAUAAGUAAUGUGAAUUGCAGAAUUCAGUGAAUCAUCGAAUCUUUGAACGCACCUUGCGCCCUUUGGACAUUCCGAAGGGCAUGCCUGUUUGAGUAUCAUGAACACCUCAACUCUCACGGCUUGUCCGUGAUGAGCUUGGACUUUGGGGGUCUUGCUGGCCUGUGGUCGGCUCCUCUCAAAUGGAUCAGCUUGCCAGUGUUUGGUGGCAUCACAGGUGUGAUAACUAUCUGCGCUUGUGGUUUUCCAUCAGAUAACCUUCAGUGAUAUGGAGGUUCGCUGGAGCUCACAAAUGUCUCUCCUUAGUGAGGACAGCUCUUUGAACGUUUGAUCUCAAAUCAGGUAGGACUACCCGCUGAACUUAAGCAUAUCAAUAAGCGGAGGA
rnacentral:misc_RNA from 1 species